CCUACGGGUGGCAGCAGUGAGGAAUAUUGGUCAAUGGCCGUAAGGCUGAACCAGCCAAGUCGCGUGAAGGAAGAAGGAUCUAUGGUUUGUAAACUUCUUUUAUAGGGGAAUAAAGGUAUCCACGUGUGGAUAUUUGCAUGUACCCUAUGAAUAAGCAUCGGCUAACUCCGUGCCAGCAGCCGCGGUAAUACGGAGGAUGCGAGCGUUAUCCGGAUUUAUUGGGUUUAAAGGGUGCGUAGGUUGUUUUUUAAGUCAGUGGUGAAAGUUUGUGGCUCAACCAUAAAAUUGCCGUUGAUACUGGAAGUCUUGAGUGUAGUUGAGGUAGGCGGAAUGCGUGGUGUAGCGGUGAAAUGCUUAGAUAUCACGAAGAACCCCGAUUGCGAAGGCAGCUUACUAAGCCAUAACUGACACUGAUGCACGAAAGCGUGGGUAUCAAACAGGAUUAGAUACCCGGGUAGUC
rnacentral:rRNA from 1 species